GUGAAAUCUGCCCUCAAUCCCCAUCCGCACUGGAAUGUCUAUACUUACCUCCUAAGCCAAAAUGCAAGAAAAAUUCAGCAGUUGAGUAAACUUGUUAAAAACCUGGCUUCUAUGGUUUUAUUGUGAAGGCAGUCUACCGUUUUCUUUAGCACAUGACUGAGUCUUUUACCUUCAUCCCAUGUGUUUAUACAGAGAAAAUCAGGCCAUUGGACAGCAGAAUGCUUUAAUAUUGCAUGUACUUCGCAGUGCACCCUGACUAAAGCAGGUCUCUAAAAAAUUAAUCUGAUAAAAUGAUCUUCUGUGCUGAAUCAGGAACAGAAACAUGUCAACCCCACUUUAUACAGUAUGUGAAAUGUCUGGAAAAAAUUCACUGAAAAGUAAGCUCCAUAAGAAAGUCAACUACAAAAGAGAAGCUUUAGAAGUCAUCAAAAUGCACAUAAACAAAAUUUUCUGGCAAAGACAGCCUAGACCUCUGGCUUAUUUGGGCCUGCUGCCAUCAAUAGGAAUCUUUCCCUUUGCUUUCAAUGGGCACGGAUUCAGGCCUUGGAGAAAUUGCUCUUGAAAAGAUUCUGGCAGUGACAGGAAGAUUCCAUCAGGAACAGCAGGACUCGGCUUUCCGUGCAAGGAGCUGGGUGUACUUCAGCAGCUUUUAUUCAGGUGCAGUCAGACCUGCAGCACAGUUUACAUGCUAUAUUGCAGAAUGUAAUAUAACAGGAUUACCUAUAAUAAAACACUGGAAAGGAGAGGUUCUUGGAAGGAGAGUUAUAUCCCCAAGAGCAAGAUUUGUGGAAACCAUCAUUGCUGAAAAAUGAAUUGUGACCUAGCCAGCAAGACUGCUGUAGGGAAGGAAAUGCUGUAGGAAAGGAGUUAUUCACCUUACUCCGAGCUGCAGGGACAUGGCGUGUCAUUCUUAUUACAGCCAAGAAAAGCUGUUGUGUUUGCCAUAUUUACUUCUAGAGUCCAUCUGAGGAUCAAGCUGUACUUAUCUGAGCUGUCUCUGGGAUCCAGUAGAGCAUAAUUGCAAAUCAGUACAUCUCUACAAAAGACAUCUGGACUUCUGCAUUCAAAAAAGUGUUUUGACGAAAACUUGAGUCUCAACAAUUGUUUUCAUCUCAUUUUCCACUGCCUGAACUGUAUCUUUAUUGUCAUCUGUGCUACUCUGCUGGUGAUAAAAAGUUUCCAGCCCUCAGGCCAUACGAAUAUGCAAAGCAUUCCAGCAAAUUCGAAUACCAACUUGCCUCAGUGCAAAUCUACAAAGGUGGUUUUCCAGCACACAUUAGGCAAUACCUAACUGUGAAAAAUUCACUCUAUUUCAGCAGACAAGUAACAUGCUCUGGGAAAAAUUCAAACGUGACUCCUUAAGACCAGACUAUCAAUUCAAUUAAAUUGCCUUUAGGAUAUAAUUUCUUAUUUCCAGAUUUCCACGUGGUAUAAAGCAGACAGAUUUACAGAGGGCAGAAGUUUUGCUAGGAAGGCACAUAGAGCCUCAGGAUCUCUUUCAUUCAAGGAAACUACCAGUACAUUAACAGGAAAGAAAAAAAAGGAAAGAGGAAAGAGGAAAGAGGAAAGAGGAAAGGGGAAAGGGGAAAGGGGAGAGGGGAGAGGGGAGAGGGGAGAGGGGAAAAAGGGCAAAGGGAAAAAAGGGAAAAAAGGGAAAAAAGGGAAAAAAGGGAAAAAAGGGAAAAAAGGGAAAAAAGGGAAAAAAGGGAAAAGGGAAAAGGGAAAAAAAGGGAAAAGGGAAAAGGGAAAAAAGGGAAAGGGGAAAGGGGAUAGGGGAAAGGGGAAAGGGGAAAGGGGAAAAAGGGCAAAGGG
rnacentral:lncRNA from 1 species